rnacentral:rRNA from 1 species
ACUCAAAGGAAUAGACGGGGGCCCGCACAAGCAGUGGAUUAUGUGGUUUAAUUCGAAGCAACGCGAAGAACCUUACCAGGUCUUGACAUCUCCUGCAUAGUAUAGAGAUAUAUGAAGUUCUUCGGAACAGGAAGACAGGUGGUGCAUGGUUGUCGUCAGCUCGUGUCGUGAGAUGUUGGGUUAAGUCCCGCAACGAGCGCAACCCUUACAGUUAGUUGCUACGCAAGAGCACUCUAACCGGACUGCCGUUGACAAAACGGAGGAAGGUGGGGAUGACGUCAAAUCAUCAUGCCCUUUAUGACCUGGGCAACACACGUAAUACAAUGGCGAUUAACAAAGAGCGGCGAUACUGCAAAGUAAAGCGAAUCUCAAAAAAUCGUCUCAGUUCGGAUUGUAGGCUGAAACUCGCCUAUAUGAAGUCGGAAUUGCUAGUAAUCGCGGAUCAGCAUGCCGCGGUGAAUACGUUCCCGGGCCUUGCACACACCGCCCGU